GGGGGGGGGGGGGGGGGGGGGGGGGGGGGGGGGGGCGGGGGGGGGGGGGGGGCUGGGGGGGGGGUGCAGCGGCGGGCGGGGGGGGGAGGCCGGGGAAUCUGGCGGGGAGGGGGGGGGGACGUCCGGGAACGGGCGCUGAUACCGCGUACGGGCUGGGGGAGAGAGUGGGGGAUGUUCGGACCUCAGGCUAGCAGAUGAGCCUAGGUCGGAUUAGCUAGUUGGAGGUGUAAAGGCCGACCAAGGGGACGAUCCGUAGCUGGUCUGAGAGGAUGAUCAGUAACACUGGAACUGAGACACGGUCCAGACUCCUCCGGGAGGCAGCAGUGGGGAAUAUUGGACAAUGGGCGAAAGCCUGAUCCAGCCAUGCCGCGUGUGUGAAGAAGGUCUUCGGAUUGUAAAGCACUUUAAGUUGGGAGGAAGGGCAGUAAGUUAAUACCUUGCUGUUUUGACGUUACCAACAGAAUAAGCACCGGCUAACUUCGUG
rnacentral:rRNA from 1 species